CCCUUAGAUGUCCUGGGCCGCGCGCGCGCUACACUGAUGCAUUCAACGAGUUUUACCUUGGCCGAGAGGCCUGGGCAAUCUUUUAAACCUGCAUCGUGAUAGGGAUAGAUUAUUGCAAUUAUUAAUCUUGAACGAGGAAUUCCUAGUAAACGCAAAUCAUCAAUUUGCAUUGAUUACGUCCCUGCCCUUUGUACACACCGCCCGUCGCACCUACCGAUUGAAUGGUCCGGUGAAGCCUCGGGAUUGUGGCCAGUUCACUUUAUUGGGAGUUGGCUGUGAGAACUUGUCUAAACCUUAUCAUUUAGAGGAAGGUGAAGUCGUAACA
rnacentral:rRNA from 1 species